GACGAACGCUGGCGGCGUGCCUAAUACAUGCAAGUAGAACGCUGAAGGAGGAGCUUGCUUCUCUGGAUGAGUUGCGAACGGGUGAGUAACGCGUAGGUAACCUGCCUGGUAGCGGGGGAUAACUAUUGGAAACGAUAGCUAAUACCGCAUAAGAGUAGAUGUUGCAUGACAUUUGCUUAAAAGGUGCAAUUGCAUCACUACCAGAUGGACCUGCGUUGUAUUAGCUAGUUGGUGGGGUAACGGCUCACCAAGGCGACGAUACAUAGCCGACCUGAGAGGGUGAGCGGCCACACUGGGACUGAGACACGGCCCAGACUCCUACGGGAGGCAGCAGUAGGGAAUCUUCGGCAAUAGACGGAAGUCUGACCGAGCAACGCCGCGUGAGUGAAGAAGGGUGUCGGAUCGUAAAGCUCUGUUGUAAGAGAAGAACGAGUGUGAGAGUGGAAAGUUCACACUGUGACGGUAUCUUACCAGAAAGGGACGGCUAACUACGUG
rnacentral:rRNA from 1 species